rnacentral:rRNA from 1 species
AGAGUUUGAUUCUGGCUCAGGAUGAACGCUAGCGGCAGGCUUAACACAUGCAAGUCGAGGGGCAGCGGGUUGUAGCAAUACAAUGCCGGCGACCGGCGAAAGGGUGAGUAACGCGUGAGCAACAUGCCCGGUAGAGGAGGAUAGUCGAUGGAAACGUCGCGUAAUACUCCGUAACAACAGAGGGCGCAUGACCUUUGUUUAAUAGAUUUAUCGCUACCGGAUUGGCUCGCGUCCCAUUAGGCAGUUGGCGGGGUAACGGCCCACCAAACCGACGAUGGGUAGGGGUUCUGAGAGGAAGGUCCCCCACAUUGGAACUGAGACACGGUCCAGACUCCUACGGGAGGCAGCAGUGAGGAAUAUUGGUCAAUGGCCGAGAGGCUGAACCAGCCAUGCCGCGUGCCGGGAGGACGGCCCUAUGGGUUGUAAACCGCUCUUGUUGGGGAGCAAUAAGGGUCACGUGUGGCCCGAUGAGAGUACCCAGCGAAUAAGCAUCGGCUAACUCCGUGCCAGCCGCGGC